ACUUAUUGCUAGUGUCUCAGAGGAUGUGCAGCAUUGCUAGUAAUGGCUAUCAGUUUUGUCUUCUUCCUCUUCUUUGCUACUACCACCAGUGGGACUGGAAUGCAUCCUAUAAUUGAGCUUGCCUUGUUAGUUAGCUUGUUUAUUUGGUGGGCCUCUCUUGAAGUGAUUUUAGCGGUCCAGCACACUACAGUGGCUAUCACAGAGUCAUAGAACAUAUAAAGGAUGUCACAACCCACUUUUAAAAGAGGCUGUCUCCUGUUAAAAAACCAAAACCAAAAAACACAGUACUUGUAACAAUGCAUCACCUUCACAUCCACUCCAGAAUAGUGAAUAGGCUGUUUGGUGUAGCACAAAUUAAUAAAUAGUUCCUUGGUUUUGCACCUAACUCCUAUACUCUGUCUCAUCCACCUUGUCAGCACACUUCAUUAAGUUUAUUGGGCACUUCACAUAUCCACUCUUAAUAUUCUGUUCCCAAAGGAGGCGGUGCAGUAUCAACAUCUGAUAUAAAUGGCAAUAAUUGCCAGCGUCACUGCAGAACAUGGUGAAGUGUAUGGGAAAGAACUGGAGAUCACAAAGACUAUCACCGCCAUUUUUAAGCAAUAUGGAAAGCAUUGGCUGCAGCUCUAUCAAAAAUACUGAGCCUAAAUGACAUGCCUUCAGAGUUGUAUUAAAUGCAACGGCUGAUGCUAUAUUUUUGUAGUAUUGUAAUAGUGAGUUUUGAAAUGUGCAGACAACUAAUAUUCUAUGUAUUGCAUACUUUUUACUGUCAAAAGUUCCCUUUCUGAUACUAAAUGACAAAAUUCAGCUGUUCUUUGGAGAAGUUCUACAAAACCUUCAAUUUGGAAUUUUUAGUGGGAAAGCAGCGUUUAUCCAGGUUGAACUUUUAUCUUUUUCCAGUUUCAGACAGUAAACAUGGACUUGUAUGAACUGCUCAACUAACUGGCUGAAAUUCUGAACUGACUUUACUAGAAUUGCUUAAUUUGGUUAGGGUUUAACAAUUUGACUUGGUUUUGUUAAAUUUGAUUAAGAUUUAAUAAUUGAUUGUCUUUCUAUUUGAUAAAAAGUUCAAUUAUUUUAAUGGUGUAUUUGUAUAUUAUUUACUAUGUAUUUAAAGUAUAGUUUACAAUUAGCCACGUUACCGGUUGAAGAUUCUGUAGGUAAUAGAAUAAUUUCAAAAAAUUUUAAUUUGAUUUCUCUUGUUUUAUGUGUACCUUCAGCAACUUUUUUCUGUGUGAUUGUAUGUCUGAACCUCCCUUGACCAGUUCUCCUUCGCUUAAGUGCAUUCCCAUAAAGCCUGAUUCUCAUUUCAAGGGGUCCAGUUCAAUUCCUGUCCGCUUUUGCACUUCCUGUCUUCAAAAGCAACUCUGUGUGCCUCAUACGUGUUUACUCCUUCUCACGUGUCUCACAAUCACAAAAGCCAAACUGACCAAUCAUAUUGCUUGCAUGGACUGGACAACCACACAGAUCAGUGAUUGUGUUUAAUUAUAUAAGUAGAUACAGAUAACAAGGAGGAAUGCCUCAGCACUCACAAAAUGAGCAUGCCUAGUAGACAGGAGAAAUAAACAAAGACAAUAACGUUGAGAGACGGUCUUCUGUUCCGUCUGUUCUAAGCUGCUUUGAGUAUGCCUUUAGAGAGGCAAUAUAACUAAAAACAUGCCAACGGGACAGAAAUUAAGACCAUUUAAAACUGCGGUAGCUGAAAGAGUCCAGUUAGUUUUCCAUAUUAUUACAGUCCUUGACUGGGAUUUGAUCCCAGGCACCCUGAGAUAAGCAGUAUCAUUAUGAUCUAGUGUAUCACCCAGAUCUAACAGAGCAUUACUAUAUUACUUGUUUAUUUUGGUCAUACAUCUCUUUUUCCAACCAAAUAUUUAUUUCUUAUCAAAAAAAAUGCCCAUUUUCUAGUUCACUGAACUUAAUUUAGAACUUAAUUUCCUUUAUUUGGCUGACAUCUUUAUCAAUGGUGACUUACAACAUUUGAGAGGUAAAACUGGUUACAUUUCUUUUGUGCUGUGACUUGCUUAUAGUCACACAGUGUCAUUAGGCAGAUUUGAACACAAAUUUCAUUUGAAGUCCAAAGCUUUAACCACUACGCCACAUGGACAGCUACUAUAUACAUAGAGCUGUAGGAGGCCCGUAAUGAACUAUUAAACAGGAACAAGCCAUAAAUUCAAAACCACUUACACCUCAACAAACACAGCAGGGAAAUUUCGAAAUGGCAGGCAGCCUAACAGUAGGAGGAAACCCUAAAACAGACCUCAACAUAUAUAUUGCUCCCUGUGAUGCAGCAGAGCCUGCAGUGAAAGAUGUCUGUUAGCUCUGCUGGGAAAUUAUUGCAAAAUGUGAGCAGUUUCAUUGUGCCGAUAACUUUAUUUCUAACACCCUCUGAUGGACAUUUCAGCUGCACAUGAACAUUAGACAUAACCUAAAUGAACUGCAAACCACUAAACUUUUGUGUCUGUCUGGCCUGAUGGAGUUUUCAUCUCUUAGAUCCACAUGACUCCAUAGAGCUUGUGACUUAUUGUGGAAAGAAUGCAUGUGCUUAGUGUGCAGCACAUUUCUCCUUCAAUGCUGCUGUGGCCUAUUAGCCUGUUUUAUUUCAGCUGACAGCAGCUACUUAAAAAAUUGGAACUGGCCUGACAAUGUCAUUUGGUGCAAUUCGUUAACUAUUAAGUCAUGCAGGAGAUGUAAAGGCAGCUGAAAAGGCUGUUCCACUGGCAGGCCGUCCCGCCUCUUAGGGAGAUAUUUGGUGUUGAUUGUUCAUUAUUUGUAUGUAAGGUGUCUCCAUUUAGACUCUGAUCGACCUGUGUCAAUCUACAAUGAGAGGUAAUGGGAGACUGAAAUGUUUGAACAUGCAUUCCCUGCAAAGUCCUUAAAAUUAAUGCAUGUAGUUUAAAAAGUAAGUAAGAAUAAACACCUCAGUGUGAAAAUGCUGAUCAAGGACAGCCCUAGAAUCAGCAUGUGUGGAAUAUGGUAAUAUUUCAAGGACGACGAUAUUGAAUGGGUUCAAAAAGCAGCAACACACCUGAGUUCAGUGAAGAUUAGUUAUUGGGAUAAAGCUGUUUAAUCCAGUCCAAAGUUGUGGGUGUUAUGUUACAGCCUGGGUUUAUUGUGAUAAUUCAUGCACACCAUCUCACUUGCACCAAUCAUAUUGUUGGGUAUCUUGCACUUCAUAAGUGAGGAUAAACCAGGGUGAGAGAGACACACACAAAAAUAAUUGAUGGUAAAAAAAGUAGUUCUUAAUUAAAGCCAGGUGAUAGCAAAAAUAUCAAAGGUAUUCAAAAUUGAAGUUCAUUAAAAAUCAAUCCGAAACCAUUUUUCCAGGUGAAUAAGUCAAAAUUAUAAAAACAAGAAAAAUCAAAAUCAGAAAAAACACAACAGUCACUCUAAUCCUUUACUUUCAUUCCUCAACAAGCUGUUUGAGAAACCAAAGCGUUUUCAAAAGAAAAACUAAACAAUGAAAAAUAAAGCCAUAUCCAGUUCACCCAAUUAACUCCAUUCUAACCUCUAAGGAUAGUAAAGAGUCCCUGGCACUCUCUCUUUUUCCCUUUCAAUUGCUCAGAAGUACUUUGAUACACACUCCAAUGACAACAGACCCAAAAGCAAAAAGAUAACCACUAAUGGCUGAUUUCCUGCUGCAGGAUUUUGUCCUCCAAUUAUCUUCUAUGAAUUCAUUCCAGUUACACUACAUACUUCAAUCAGGAAAGAUCUCUACAUACUCACAACUAUCACCUAUGAGUGAGGGUAUUUUCCUGGACACCCAAACUUAAGUUUCACUCCAUUAAGUAUAUCUUUUUUUUUUCUACUAUGUGCUUCUCAAACACUCACUCAAAUGGCUUUUCAUAACUUUUCCUUUUCCUUUGCAGCAUUGUUCCUUGAGCCGGUAUGCCUCUUCGUUUCCGUAAGCACGAAUGGGUCGUGUUGCACUCUGUGGACACCGCUUGCUUUAGAUAGGCACAGCUGCCCAGCCGUUUCCUUCACUGGAGCACCCACCUGUACAGCCAUCAAAUGUCUAAGACAAGUCUUAGCGCUGGAACGCACUCCCAGGUCUUAAAUAAAAGGAGUUACUGUGAAUCACCCAUUCGAGUUGGAGUCUGGAUUGGAGGAUGGACAAAGCUUGCCUGGAAGGAAUGGAGGAUGAAAGUAUACAAAGAGAAUUGCAUUGUGCUUGUGCAAACACUGAAAAGAAGCAUGUUAAAGGGUGGAUGUUGACUUUUGUCAAAAUUCAUUGAUAGAGGAUGGUAAUCAGCCAUAAAACUUGCUGCUUUGUUUUAGUUCGGCUCUCUUUGCUAGACGGAAGUCAACUUCAUUGAUUUGACCUCAAUUACCUGCACAUGCAUGAGUAGUGAAGAGCAAACGACCACUAAAAUGGCAUUGACGUCUGGCGGGAGACCAAAGCGAAUGCACAAAGCAAAAUAUUCGGUGGAGGACAUUUUGCGUAUUAUUGCCGACUCGGACUCUGACUUGUCAGACUUCGAUUUUGAGGCAAGUGAUCUGAAGAUGGAGAUCGAAAAUGAAAGUGAGGAACCGGCUUCAGCUGAUCGGUCAUUCCCCAGCUGAUAGCAGUGCUGAACACGCUUGUGUAGCUGUUGCGCCUACAGCAACGUUCGUCUGGGAGGAUCACCACUUACGAUGACAAGAGGUACAAACCAGAUUGUGUCACACACUGCCAUACAAAGGCAGUCAGGCAGCCACCCACCACGCAUUCCUACCAGCCAUCGAGCAGCCCCCUACACAGCCACCAGAGACCCUGAAUAGGCACCGACAGCAGCCACAGCAAUAUAUGAAACCUUUGCUUUGUGUGCUUUUCAGAAAAGUGGGUUGCCUGCAAAAAAUAUUCAGCCCUCAAAGAGUUAAAGCAGUCUGCAUUUUUAUAGCUUAAACAUCGUCCCCCCCACUCUUGCCUUUCCAUCAAUCAAUGUCAACCUACUUCAUACCAACAAGAGUUAGGUCGUGUGUGAUGACCCUUAGUAAGCAAAUAUUUAUCAUUUUUUUGCUUACAGAGAUAAUUAAUUGUCUUAUCAGUAACUGCCUGUCCUUCACAAACCUCUACUGACUCCCUGUGAAAAUAUUUUAUAUGUAUGAUGUACUUAAUAAGUACCUAUAAAGAUAACAGAUUUGAAUACAACUUAAAUAGUUUCAUACAUGUUAUUUUCUUUAACAUACAUGAAGCCCAAUUCAUUACUUAUUGUUAAAUAACAGCAUACAGUGUGUUUUGCUAGUGAUAGGAUUUAAAAGUUCACAGUGCAGAAAAUAAUCCCUGAAGAGGCACAUACACAUUGAGCAUAUAUUCUUCCACACCCCAACCUGGAGUAAACGAUUGCAAAAAAUUAGUCAAUAGUUUCAUUAUAUUUACAAGUUGAGUAUGUAAUAAUAAUACAGGAUUUUUGGUUUGAAAAAUGUUGUUUAAUAUAAAUACAGUAAGACUGGCUGAUUAUUGUUCACCUCUCAGACCACUUUCCAAUACUCAUACGUUUUGUAAUUGUGUAUGGAAAACAUUCAGUACAACAACUUUUAGAAUAUAAAUUUAAAUAGUGUACAGCGGGUGACAUAACAUAAUUAGCAAAAUCCUCAUUUGAAAUUUGCAAAUAUUGCAGUCUUCUUUGAAAGGUGAUGAUUGUCUAGCAGAUCUUGUGUUUCCUCUUUCUGUUUUGAGGGUCUCUGCAUAAGGUCCAUUUGCUGAAACCUGCAUGUCUCCAUUUUUUUUAAGCCUUUGGUCCAUACAGGUUUAUCUCAAGCUCACUGCUUUCCUCCUUUAAUUGCCUUGCUGUGUAGGUACCCUGAUGGAGUAGGCACAGCUGGUAUGCUAAGCUGCUUCACGCACACUGUAAUGUUCAACUCAUCAUUUGUUAAUAUGGAGACAUAAAUGAGACAUUAUUUUGUUUGAAAUUAUUAGAAGUGGGUUCAUGUAAUGUGUGAGUGGGUGCCAUUAUGACAGGGUGGUGGCAGGUAACAGGCUGACACCAGAAGACAGACCCAGUUACCAUGUGUAGUCUGUUGAUAGAAGGGACGGCAAUAACAAUAAUGUUGACAUAAAUCUGCCAAGGGACAGUAUGACCUCCAAUUUUGUUUUGGUACCCUACCAGGACAGCAGACAGGGGAUUAAGCUUUUCAUGUUUCCACAGAACUCCAACUGGAUGGAGAGGUAGUUAGCCAAGAAGACAUUGCCGAGCUGUUUGACGCAAAGGUGGUUAUGAAAGUCCAGAAAGUAACUGACAGUAUUGUGUCGGUACAAAGUUAUCGAAUGGGACGUAUGCGUCCUGUUUCUUGUUAUGUGAAACAGGUCAGGUUUGGAAAGCGAAGAGUGCCUGAUUCUUUAAAGAAGCGUUGGGGUUCAGGGAUGCUGGGGCACUUGGGGCUACCAGAGAAAACACGGGAUGGGGUAGGGUGGAGGUUGCUGAUGUUUCCUGAUACCUAAAAAUAGCAAUUUUCGGACUACUGAAAAUGUGGCACCGGUAUUACUUUUGGGUUAUUGAGCUGUCACCUCUGGCCUUUGUGUUUCAGGAAUUUGAUUAGGAUGUGGGGAGGUGUUCUGGACAUAUCCAACUGGGAGGAGAUCUCAGGGCAGACACAAGACACACUGGAGAAAUGACAUCUCCUGGCUGGCCUGGGAAUGCUUCAGUAUACCCCCAGAGGUGUUGGAGAAGGUGGUGGUGGGGAAAAGGGACAUAUGGAAAUCUUUGCUUAUGAAUGGUACAAAAUGGUAAAUGAAUGGUAAAAAAAUUGAUGGUUAAAUAAUGGGUAUGAGUGCAGCACUUAUUAAGUAAACAGUGAUGUGCUGAAUUUUGAUUGAUACUCCUUGCUGCCUAUAGUCAUUUCAACAAAUCUUGGACUGUGUCUUCAUUUUCAGAAAUUUCCAGUAUGCGGAUGCCAGCCAAUCCAGACUUUCUCCAUCUCCGGGCUGGUGACCAUCAAAUGAGCUAUAAUCAUGUGACUGUAGUGACAUUCAACAGAUGAAGAUGGCAGGAGCCAGAAGAAACAUUUCCAAGGAAAGAUUACACUGUAAUACACAUGAUAUGUUGAAGUCCAUCAAUCUCAGUCCUGGAAAGUAUGUCUCGAUCAAAGCCACGACUCACUUGCUUGUCAAAGGAAAACAUCCUGAGGCAUCAGGAUUAAGAGCGAUGAAGACAGGAAGGUCUGUCACCAUAGAGAAAUAAGCUGAGAGUGCAGCACUUCUCUUUAUCCGAGUGUCAAGGGAUACAACUACAGAAUCAAUCAUCAAACUUUGACCCAAGGUAUUCUGUACACAGUAUGAUUUUAUGGACCAUAGGGCAUUAUGGGAACUGUCUCCAAAUACUGAAGAACAAUUGAAUGAGACUGAAAAGUGAGAAUUCCUUUUAUUCACUGAAAAUACACCAGAGGGGUCCUUUAAUCGGAUUUGCUGGCCCAGCGCUGCUUCAUCUGUGGAAUGGCCAAAUGGGGGAGGCAGCUUGAUGGCUGAGGUCUUCAGGACUCUAAACAAAUCCA